AAGAUGGCGACCGGCGCACGGGUGAGUAACACGUAUCCAACCUACCGAUAACUCCGGAAUAGCCUUUCGAAAGAAAGAUUAAUACCGGAUAGUAUACGAAUAUCGCAUGAUAUUUUUUAUUUAAAGAAUUUUCGGGUUAUCGAUGGGGAUGCGUUCCAUUAGUUUGUUGGCGGGGUAACGGCCCACCAAGACUACGAUGGAUAGGGGUUCUGAGAGGAAGGUCCCCCACAUUGGAACUGAGACACGGUCCAAACUCCUACGGGAGGGCAGCAUG
rnacentral:rRNA from 1 species